rnacentral:rRNA from 1 species
UACGUAGGGUGCAAGCGUUUGUCCGGAAUUAUUGGGCGUAAAGAGCUUGUAGGCGGUUUGUCGCGUCUGCUGUGAAAUUUCGGGGCUCAACCCCCGAACUUGCAGUGGGUACGGGCAGACUAGAGUGUGGUAGGGGAGACUGGAAUUCCUGGUGUAGCGGUGAAAUGCGCAGAUAUCAGGAGGAACACCGGUGGCGAAGGCGGGUCUCUGGGACGGUACUGACGCUGAGGAGCGAAAGCGUGGGUAGCAAACAGG